AUGCGGAGGCUCCCGGUGGCGGCAGAGGCUCCCGGCAAAGGAGAGAGCACGCACAGCAGGAAAGGAGACGAGCAGCAGCUAGCGACGCACAUCAGGCUGCAGCUGCAAGUGAAUCCGGCACCGGAGCAGC